rnacentral:lncRNA from 1 species
AGUGCCUUCAAAUAUCUCCUCACAAGCCAAACAUAAGAUCAUUCAAGAGAGAAGAAAGAAAAAGAGGUUCAAGGGAGUUGGUGCUUUAAAGAGGAGAAAUCCAGUGCAUUCAAGCCUUCUUCAUCUGAUUUCGUGCUCAUCUACUCACUCCCACUUGGCAAUCAAAGCUCGCAUUCAAGCCAACGUGAUCCACAUCGGAAGAACCACCAUCAUCCACGCUUCCAACGGCUAAAAGGGUUCUUCCGGGUUUUGUUAUUUCUCACUGUUUUAUCUGCUUAUUUAGAGCUUUCAAAUCUUUUGUAAAACCUUUGGUUAUUGUGCUUGUUCCAGUCAAGGGACUUGGAACAAGGGAAAGGCGUCCCAAGCCUAGGUGAAAUUGGGGGUUGUAGGGUUCGUUGUUAGCCCGGUGUAAAACAACGAGUUGGGUAGUGCACUCGCAAAACUACCGGACUGUAAUCUUGGAUUAUAGUAGAAAUUCCCAAAGGUGCUUUGGGGAGUGGAUGUAGGAGCAGUGGAAGCUGCGAACCACUAUAAAACCUUGUAUUUGCGAUUGUCUGUUUUCAUACCUCUAUUUUUACCUUAGCUCAUACAUUUGUGUGUUUUAUUUUUAAUUGGACAAAAAGUUUUAAAACACCCAAUUCAUCCCCCUCUUGGGUUGUAUCUACUGGGCAACAAUCGCCCUCCAGGCCACCUCACCCCUUUG